UCCCUGAGGAAGAUGAUGAGAGUGGUACUGACAAAGAGGAUGAGCGCCCACAAGUGGUAGUGCUGAAAAAAGGUGACCUGACUGAAGAAGAGGCACUGAAAAUUAAAGAGCAGAUCAAAGAUGCUUCUAAGUUAGGUUAUAGCCUAUGAAGCCUCUUGCAGUCCUGUGUUCCGAAAGCUCUGGUUGGCGUGAGUAGGAUAACUACAGCAACCAUGAGAGAAGGGAUUUCUCAGGCUAUUAGAUGAAGAACCAGAACCUUCUGAUGGAAAAAUUGUGUUCAGGAAGCCAUCAAAGCGUUCAUCAGAAGAAAAGUUUUUGGGCCUGACUGCAAGUUCAAGUAAGAAGAUAAAAGAGUCAAGGAAAAAUAGGAGUGAAC